rnacentral:sRNA from 1 species
CCAUGGAUGUCUGCUGAGUACCGGGGAAGGGGAGGGAUGGCCUGUAGCAGAGCUUACGGAUCUUGUUAAGGGAGCUCCCAGUCAACUGGAGCUGAGGGGAGCAGACAGAUGCUACAGAUGACAAGAAGCAAGGUGGGGCUUGCCAUGCCAGUCAUCUCCUAGAGGAAUUAUGUGCACAGAAUCAUGAAGAGACAGCAUGAAUGUCAGCUUGGCACUGAGUUCUCCAAGGACAUGCUGAUCUGGAGCACAGAACAUGGAGGUAACAGCAGUCAUCACGGUUGCCACACUCCCGACAAAUCAUACCAGCCAAAUAAAAGAGUGUGUGAGAAAUUCCUUGAGAUGAAAUGAGCAGCAUCACAUAGUAGGACUACGUCCUCUGACCCCUGCAUGUCAGAGUAUGUAAGUGUUUGAGUGUG